GUCCACGCCCUAAACGAUGUCAACUGGUUGUUGGGUCUCUUCUGACUCAGUAACGAAGCUAACGCGUGAAGUUGACCGCCUGGGGAGUACGGCCGCAAGGUUGAAACUCAAAGGAAUUGACGGGACCCGCACAAGCGGUGGAUGAUGUGGUUUAAUUCGAUGCAACGCGAAAACCUUACCCACCUUUGACAUGUACGGAAUUUGCCAGAGAUGGCUUAGUGCUCGAAAGAGAACCGUAAACAGGUGCUGCAUGGCUGUCGU
rnacentral:rRNA from 1 species